rnacentral:lncRNA from 1 species
AGAACUUCUGUUUCGUCCGCUUGGACGGAACACUAUCGCAGCGUCAGUGAGAACAAGUGCUCAAAAACUUCAGCAAUAUUCCAGCCGUGGUGGCCGUAAGCUUUUUGUGUUGCUUACCUCCAAGAAACCACUCUAUUUUGUGGUCAUGCUCAAGCUUUUCUCAUGGUACGCGCUAUAGUUUUCUUUUUUAGCCAUCUUCCGAGUCGAGAAUGUGGACAAUCGAGCAUCAGUCAGACGAAGAACGUAUCGCUCAAGUGAUUCAUCGUCAAAGUAAGCGCCACUUGAAACUCUCUUUGACGUUUCUCAUGUCUCUAGAGCAGGACUCGGUGGAGGAGAGAAUGCAACAGGUCCAAGCGAGGAAGCAGCGAUUGAUCGCGGGGGCUCUCACAGACGAAGAGGUGCCAAGCGCUCGAAUCGGAGAAGAACUGGAGUCCUUAGCAUUUUUUUAACUUAUAGUUAAAGAGGGGAAUAUGCUUCUAGCGUCGGCGCGUAUAUUCUUCGGAUAGUAGGGGUACAAGCAUUUCUAGGUUUCUUCGCGGCUAUGGCGGACAGCGAAGGAGCAGGCGAUCGCGUCGCAAGUGCGUUUGAUUCCGGCAGCAUCGGCGACGAGCAAGGUGCAUGCUAGGAUCGCCUCGGGAAGCAGCAGCAGCGCCGGCGCCGGCGCCGCGCCGCGAUUUCGCUGGCCUAGAGCCGGAGUAGCCGAUCUAGAUUCAUGCAAGCAUAUGAUCUCUAGGAAAUUGAGCUGAACGCUGAGGCUUUGCAGGCGAUCGCGUCGAUUCCUCUCGUCUCCGCGGCCGGGGCGGCUAGAAAGCCGGGGCGCAUUCUAGAGUUUCGGGGUUUCUGGGGCGAUCAGUCAUGUAGCGGGCAGUGAUUCUCUCACAGGAGCUGGAAGUCAGCCAUGACGUGGAAGCAGUAGCAGCUACAGGACCCAGCAGUCGCAGCUCACGGUCCCUGCCACAGCUUUGCUCCUUCUGGAGCACCUGGAGGAGGAGGAGAAGGUCCUCCUCCACGACCACUCUACGUCCCAGCAACAAGAUUUGGUGGGUGGUCACCUCACUUCCAACGGCACCAAGACGCAGAGUCCAAAUGACCUCCUUGGACGUUUGUGGGCUGCUCUUCCGUCGUCAAGCCACACUUUGUUUGACGGAGAAAGCGAACGCAAGACGUCAGCCCGGAGCUUUGGCGUUGAAGUGAACGAGAUGUCCCGGGAAGUCGAUGGAGGUGGAGCUGCUGGUUUCGCACUUUUGAAGCGAAGGGGAUCGGAGCUUGCCGCCUCGCACUACCUUUAAACGGCUACGACUAUAACGACUCUAAUAAGCCGAGGACAAACUCAGCAUCCGGAAGACUACAGGACUAUCGUGGGAGAUACGUAAAUGGAGAGGCCGAAUUUGAGCGCGGAGGCGAUGAGGUCGAGGUACCGGUCGUGCAGACGCCAGACGCGGUGCUCGGGGUGCUGUUGGCCAGUGCAUUGCGGUAAAUGAGAGGCAUAAAGAUGCUGAUCCAAGUGACAUCACCUCCUGCGAUAUCUCUGAUGGAAGGGACGAGUCGCUUAAAUCUUCAAACGGGUCUCAGUCGAAUGCUAGGAGAAAACAUCAACAGGAAUGGAGGAUAAAACAGGCUGACUCAAAGGCAGCAUUUCCAGCGGAGGAAAAACCGGACUACAAGGUUGCAAAGGCACGGUCUUUGGCAUCUCAACUUGAACGUCUAGGCUUGCCAUCGGGAAGUAUGCAAAACUCUUCCGUUGGCGCGGCUUUUGAGGAGUCCAAACAGAGGCUCCAUAAUCUAGAUGCUUUGGAAGGAGAAGGCGUGACGACCUCUCUAGAUCUCGAGGAGCUACAAAUUGACGGUCACCGUCGUGAGGGUAAAGCUCCACAGUUUUACAAGGUUUGUGCUUGCUUUUUUUCUUUCUCUAUUUUCAUGUGUUUGUAUCUCUGGUUACAGCCGAAGGAGAACCGUUUCAGGACCUCUGAAGAACUAAAGGUAUGCAUAUGCAUAUUCUUAAUAUUGUUAUGUUUUCCAUGUUUUACCAUUUACUCUAUACACCAGAUUUUAAAAUACUCAAAACCACGAGAGUAAAGUAAUAUCCUGAGAAUACGAUUUGUAAGAAAAACAGAAACUGUGUCUUCUCCAAACGCUGCUGACGGCUUGGAAAUCUCUGUUUUUGUUUUUUGAGUGAUGCAAAAUAGUGUAGCAUUUGCGCAGAUCGAGAACCCAAUCGAUGUCCACUGAAGGAGCAAGGUUUAAUCCCAGAAUGUUAUCUGGAGAUCCGGCCGCUCCUCAAGCCAUGGUGGAACUUUCGUACCUUUUUGGCAGCAUAGGACUUUGAGCCUGGGAAAUAAGCCAAGGCCGUGAUCGUCUGAACUCAAUUGGGGCCACACUACAUCAUCAUGAUCAGCGAGCUCAAGAACCUCCAAUCCUGGAAGGGAUGCAAUGGAUGAUGGAAUAUUUUCGAUCGUAAACAAGGUUACACCUCUUAGAGCAGUCAUCUGGUCUGUUGGCUCAAAGAAAUCAUUGGGGAGCUGCCUCAUACAGCUCAAAAAUAAUGUGAACCGUUCCACCUUCAGCUGUGAUCUCUCGGUUGGCAUCAAGAGUCUCCUCAUGUAACCUUGUACAUGCAGCAAAUCAAGGUCAUUGGGGAGUUGUGUCACAAAGAGAGGCAAAUGCUCCCAUGUAUUAUCAGGAGCCAGAUAGAAUGUUAAACUCUUCAGGUUUGGAAGACUUGCUGCCAAAUCAUCCUUGAACUCCGACUGUGCAAUGUGCAGAUUUUGAAGCUCCAGCCAUUCGAGGCAUGGGAACAAUCCAUCCAGACUGAAGAACUGGAUACCACUGCAGUCUAUGUAAAGUUCUUGUAGCCGUUGAAAGCCCUUUAGCCAAGACAGGUCUUUCAUUGUCCCCAUCCUUAAAUAUUGGAGCUGUGGCCAUUCAAGGGUUUCGGCAUUGUUUUCACCGUCUUGUACCCCGUCGAUUGAAAAGUGCUGAAGCUGGUUGGAAUUCUUAAACAUUCGCUUCCAGUCAAGUUUGAUAGUCGAUUCCACAUAAAUGUGACAUCGUCUUAGAUUGACAAGUUGCCACGGGCCUGUGAAAUCGCCAAAGUCCAUGCUCUUUGCACGCAACUCCAGUUUCUCAAUGUGCACUAGUGCACCAAGGCUGUGAGGUAUUUUUAUUGUUGCCUUGUGGAGGCCUAGCUCUAAAUGUCUUAGCUUGUGUAGGCUUGAAAUUCCACUCAAAUCCACAGCUAACUCCUUACCGAAUUGAAGCUUCAGCUCUUCCAAGUUGAAUAAUUGGGGCAGUAAUGCAAAGUUGAAUUUUGUGGUAUCAUCGCAUUUCAAAACCUUCAGUGAUGUCAAGCUGAAGAGCGCAUCUGGGAAUAUUGUCACACUUGAACAGGACACGCUUGAAUAUCGAAGGUCAAGCACUUGAAGGUUUCUCAGCUUGGAUAUGCUCUCUGGAAUAAAACGGACCAAAUUAUAGCUUUCAUUCAAGCUCAAUACCUUGACAUUUUGGAUGUGAUCUAUAAUAAGACUGACAUCCACACCAGAAAUUCCAUAACAUCCAUCGAGAAGCAAGACAUCUCGCACAUGAAUGUCAGACAAAAGGCUGCUUGUAACCUUCUUUCCAAUGAAUGAAACUUUAGAAAAUGUUGGAGAAAUCCCAGGUGGACAAUCAUAGCCAAACAGGCAUCCCUUCUCGUGCUCUUCCUGGGGUGGGUACUUCCCUUUCAAGAUUCUUAUGCACAGCUUGCGUACCAUAUCGUGCACAGUUACAUACUUACGCCAUUGAUCAUCAGUUGUCUUCACUAGGCAUCUUCGUUCCAGUUCACUAACAAUCUGCAGAGGCGAGAGUUCUGACCCAACCGCUAUCCAACAUUUUCUCAGAUCAUCAAAGUGGAUUGGCCAAUCUUCUGGAAACGCAGCCACAUAGAGAAAGCACUCUUGCAGCUUUUCAUCCUUAUUAGACAGCUCGUCAUAGCUAAACUUCAAGCGCUGGAACAUCCGCUUCUCAAUGUCCCCGUCAUUCAACAAAUGCAUCUUCUGAUAGCAUUCUUUCCACACCUGCGGCCCUUUGUUCCUGUAGACAGCCAUGGCACUGCCAAUCACUUCAAGAGCUAAAGGGAGCCCCUCACAUUUGCUAGCUAUUCUCUCGGCAACUUUCACAAUGUCCGGAUCACUAGGUAGUGAAUCAUAAAAGGCAAACUUCCAAAACAUCUUUUUGCUCUCGUCCUCUGAUAGCUCAUGCACAGGAAAUGCCUUUGCACCCAGCAUGCUCAAAAUGCCUUCCUUUCUGGUUGUUACCAGCACCCGGCUGUAAGAGGACGGCCCUGCUAUAAAAUCCAGUCCCUUGGCCCAGCUCAUUUGCCACACAUCAUCCAGUAUCAGCAAGGCACGAAUUCCACGAGCAACAUUUUGUGCCAAAUGCUGCACAUGCUCAAGGGUGCCUGCAUUUUGGGCCCUCUCUCUCAUGCCGCCCCAUUCAAGAGCAUUCAGGAGCUGGGCCCUGAGAUCGUCCUCCGAUGCAUCUUUCUUGACAGUAAUCCACACAAUGUUGUCAUGGAAAUGCUGCCGGACCCUCUGGUCAUUGUUCACGAAUCUUGCAAGGGUGGUCUUGCCACACCCUCCCAUUCCCAGGAGUCCAAACCAUUUCCCCGGGGCUUGUGGAUCCAGGAGGGCAUUCACCACCUCAUCCAGCUGCUCCCCAUGGCGGCCAAACAUGUCGCUGGGCUCGGUAACACCAUGCCGUACAUAGUUUACGAGACCUCUGUCUUGUGGACAACUCCGUACGGAAAAGCUGGUGCUCGGCUGUAUCACUCUCAACUCUUCUCGCUCGUACCUUUCAAUCUGCGGGAGGAGAUCGUUCUCGCAAGUGCGUACCAGCUCCGAAAUCGCGCCAGAUCGCUUCUCCCUGCGCGACAGAUCCAUCUUUUAGCUCCAUUGCUUCAAACAUGAAUUCGAAUAAGCCUUACUGUGAUCCAAGCAGCGCUUGCGCCCUCGCAGUCCAUUCAGUCAGUUCAGUCAGCCACGCCUCAGCCUCACCAGAGUAGCGGAAAUCUGGAUUCUUGUGCUUGGGAGCAUUAAACUUGUCAAGCGUGGCCUGGAUUCUGGAUGUCUUCUUUAGCUCCUCAAUGUGGACAUUCAGCUCAUGCUCGUGACCCUGGAUCUGCGACAGGAGAUCGCCGUGGGCACUUAAGGACUUCGCGAUCUCGUCACUCCGCUUGUACCUAUAGGAAGUGGAGAAGUUCAACCAGCUGCCUGCCAUUUCUACACACACACACACACAAAAGAUAAAAUGCUACUGUACCGACCGCUUUAUGGGGCUCCAGAUCCUGUUGUGGCGUGAUCCCAAGAGUGCUUGUGCCUUGGUGUUCCAUUUCCUGACACGCUCCAAGCAUUCCUCGGCCGCUUGAGAGAACAUAAAGCCAGGUCCAUUUCGCUCCUUGUGGUGAUCGAAAGCGUUGAUCUUGGCCUGGAUGUGGUGCGCCUUGUUCUCCAGCGUUUCAAUGUUGGCAUUGCAGUCCCAUAUCUUCUUAGCAGGGCCCAGAGCCAAGCCACACAAGGCGCUUGCCAAGGAGCCCACACCCUCCAUGCCUGUAGACCUACAAGUAAAGGUCGUCUCCCAGAACUCCUGGCCUUGGUAUCCCCUUUUAAAAUGGACAGUAAUUUUCAGAGAGGUAUAAGCUGUUACAAAGGUAAAUUGGAGUUGACUGCUUGCAGUAGAGCGAGUAGAGGACCUCGUGCAGCACCCUCCCUCUUGCAAUGCCAGCUGUGACCAAUUGGAGUUGAUUGCUUGCAGUAGAGGGCCUCGGGCAGCACCCUCCCUCUUGCAAUGCCUCUCUCUCUCUCUCUCUCUCUCUCUCUCUCUAAGAAGAAGACCUUUGAGCACAUGGGCUCGUCUGAAAGCAUGCUCCGACAUUGUAAGUUUCUCCAGGAGAGGUAACUUUUGUCGCUUUGUUUAGGACGCCUUCCAGCUGACUGGGCCACGUGUUUGAUUGCUUUGGGUCAGGAAAACGUACUCUGGGUCAUCGUUCACUAUUUUUGAGACGAGAAAUGUAUAUGGUUUAUUUUGUAAUGGAAAACAAUAUACUUUUGAACUAGGAUAGUUUAUAUGUUUUAAUAUAGUUAACACUUUGGAACUUGAUUUAUAAUAUUAAGGACAUCAAGAAUUAUUUUAAAAUUGGACUGAAACUUGGUUUUCUUUAUGGAUGACAUUGUAGUUGAUGAUUUCAUGAAUAAUAGACCAAUGAGAAUGGGAAGUGUGUUAUCUUCCUUCCAAAACCCAUUUUCAAAUUACAUAUAAAAGAUGUACAUUCAUGUAAUUUAUCUGUGACAAUAUUCUUUUGAUAAGAGCAUAAGUUGUGUCAUUUAACAAACAUAUGAUGUUUUUAACUGGAACUUUUAUGAAAAAAUUCCCACACUUCAGUAAAAAAAAAAAAAACAAAUUUAUAUUAUUCUUAUUUGCUGCUGAAUGUCCUCUAUUAAUUCUAUAUGAGUUGGGAUUGUUGAUUACAACUUCCAUCCAUAUGACAUAUAAAUGUUCUAUUGCAAACACCUUUACCACAUAUUUAAUUCUUCUUUGGAUCCUCAUAAUAUAAUCAAUUGCCACUUCUAUAGGAUUGUCUAUUCUUACUUCUAUAAUAUUGUCUUUAUUGUGGGCACGUUUUGGAAAUUUGUGAUAAACUACAUCCAAAACUAAAUAAAAGUUUGUUAUAGUAUGGCACAAUGCAAACUUCUCUAACUAGAGCAUCCAUUAGUAAGAUGCAAGUAUGAUUAAAUUGAAUAUUCUCUAAAACUAGAAUAUAAGAACCUAUGUGGUGAUAUUUCAUUAGAGUUCUUCUUGGUCCACCUGCAUAGUAACUGAGAAAAAUCAUUAGUUUCUACCAAAGAAAUAGAUAGAUAGACAAUUUCUCACUAAUAGUAUUUAACACAAAUAAAGACUUCGAUUGCCUCUCUAAUCCCAACUAAGAAUAUCUUUAUAAUUUGAGUAAAACAUAUAUCACUUGGAAAACCAUACAAUUAUAAGUAUGACAUAUAAUAUGAUUAUUACAAACUUACCACCAUAGUUAUGUUUUGCUUUUGCACUAUGGCCCUAGCAUGUAUAACCACAAUUUUUAAUUCUUCCUCCUCCAAGACAUUUUCUUCAACCAAAUUAUCAUUAAGUAAACUAUCCAUCACUACCUCCAACAUCACUUGUGACAAAUAUAAUGUUCUUCCAUAAAUCAUAUCCAAACCCAUUUACUGGAUUAUAUAGUUUUUACUUUCCCUCUAAAUCCACUCUAUUAUUUUCUAUUGUGCUAACUUGUGCAUUUUUAGUGAGAAUAAGUGUUUACCUAUGGUUAUAAAAAGUAGAUUUGGUGAAAAAAUAACCUUUUGGUGCUUUUGUUGCAACACAUAAUAGACAACAAUAAUUUUUCUUUCUUUUUUGCUUUGGUUUGGUAUAAACUAUUGAUAUGUGCCAUCUUUUGGCUAACCUAGUGAUUUCAAUCCUUACAUAAGUAUUGCAACAAACAUUACAAGGCAAACACACUUUUGCAAAACUUGUGAAAUUUAAAAAUACACAAUUAUCACAUAUCUUUUAGUGUUUUUAAUGUUGUCAUCCUUGUGGUUUUUUGCUGCUUUCUUUCAAAAAUAUAAUAUUGUUACAAAUAUUUUUUUUGAGGUAUUUUUUAAGUCCUUAUUUAGCAAAUUCAUGAUGGAGGUAAAGAAGAUAAAUUGCCCAAUCCGUGAUGCUUUUUGGGAUUGAGCUCAUAAGUAACGUUUGAUAAAUAUAAAACAUAGUAAGGUUAAGGCUUUGUACUUAUUUUUAUUGAUAUAAGUUUCUUUAUUUUGGUAUCAUGCUUAUUUUAACAAAUUUUUUUGACUCUUUGAGUUAAGUAAGGAUCAUUUGCUCUUCUCUAAUGCUAUAAAGGUUUUAGUAAAGAUCCAGCUCAUAUCCUUGUGCAUCCAAUGUGCCAACUAUGUUUUUAAGUGAUUUUUAUUUGGUUUUGGAAAUCUUUUAUCUACAAUUCACAUAUACACUACUAUAUGUGUUGCUAGAGCUUACCAUUGCAUCCACAAUAACAUUAACAUGUCUUUAAUUGAUCUUGACAUGAUGCAAACUAAAUGACUGUAUUCAAGAAUGCCCUAUGAUUUGCAAAUGAUUUUGGACUUGGAAAAUGGUUGAGGUUGUGAUUGGUGGCAUAGUUAGCAUGCUGUUGUUUUACAUUAUAAUAAGGUCCACUCACUAUAGUGCUAUUUUGCUUGCAAAGCAAUUAAAACUAGUAAAGUGAUGUUUUUAAUUAUACAUUUUUAAAAAUAUUUAUGUAUUUUGAUUAUUAGGAUAUAAGUUGUGGCUUGAUUUUAGAAGAAACUCCAUACCCCAGAAGUAAUUUAAGAAGAAAAAUAGUCCAAUAAUGCAAUUAUGGAGAUAGAAAGUCUCUCUAGAGAGACCACAAUAUUAGAUAUGGUAACAAAUAAAUUUGAUUUUAGAGAAAGUGAAGCAGAAGUUUUUAGUGCACAUAGUUAUAAUAGCAUAAUUAGUUAAAAUCAAUAUAGGUUUGUUAAUCAAUUUAUAUACAUUUGAACUUCCCACGUAUGAGCUAAGGUUUGCAUAGUAGAGUUUAGUGGGUGGCAAGAUUGUAGAGAUGCUAAGUUUUGUAUCUUUCCAUUGUUGUAGUUAAAUCGACGAGUUGAGAUAAGGUAAGUAAUGGGUAAAAAUACAUAAAGUGAAUCCUUUUUUUUUCUUUAAAUGUUUAUGACCCUAGCAAGAUUGAAUGAACCAUCUAGCAAGGGAUUGUGUAAAUAUAUUGAGAGUGUUUAUUUAGCUAGAGUGUUGCCAAACUUCAUUAACAAGAUUAAGAGUGAUGGAUUUUUUAGAGAGGACUAUUUCAAACUCAACAUUUUGAUAUGGAUGAGCAUUGGAGCAAAAAUGGGGGAUGCAAUCCAAAUGACAAAGACACUCAAGAAUCUCAAUGAUUCAUCGGAGUAGGUAUGCAAUAAAAGGCAUGCCCAAAAUAAAAGCCCUUUACGAAGACAAUAGUGCGAGCUAACACCCACUCAAAAACAAAACACACCAAGUCAAGGAUUAUAAUAGUGGCAACUAAGGUUUGCAACACCAAUUUUCAAUGUUAAAAAAUACUCCAAGCGCUUACUAAAUUUCCCAUUAGCUUUAUUUGGCAAGAAUUUACUUUAUGAGUUAUUAUAAAUCUUUCCUAACUACAAAAAAGGAUACUUCAAAUGUGAAAGGCAAGUGGAGCAAAGAAUUAAGCUCAAUCAAAAGAGGAUACUUCAAAUGUAAAAGGAAAGUGGAGCAAAGAACUAAGUUAAUUAAGUCAGUUCAUGAGUGCAAAUUGGAUAACCAUGCCUUUUGUGUUUGUGAGUUCAAGAUAAAAAAGAUCUUCAUUGUAUUGCGGUAUCAACUUAAAAAAGCAGUGGUUGUUAAAAUAGAGCAAAUAAAAGUGUUUAUAAAAUACUUAUAUGACUAGAGUGUUAUAGAUCUCCUUGCAUUUAAGUCAAAUAUGAGGUUGGUAUUGAUAGAUCUUGAGUUUUUUAAGGUACAAACCAUAUUAGUUUCAAUGGAAAAAACCUCAUAGUUUUAAAUAUGGCUUUUGCAAUAUCUUCAAAUAGUAAGGAUAAAAAUUUUAAAUAAAUGGCAAUGAGAAAACUACAAUAGUUAAGAAAGUUUAUAGUGGCACACUCAUUUAAAAGUAUAAAUCCCUACGAGUGAGGAUAAUUUCACUUAUAGAUAAGGAUUUAUUGGCCAAUAUAAAGAUUUUUUUUGCAUGUGAGGUAAAUCUUUUUUAGGAUGACAUUUUAAAAUUAUGCUCAACACUAAAGAAAGAAGUAUGCACUAAUUUUAAAUUUUAAGUUCAGAAGAUGUUUUGGCCUAAGUGCAUAAAGGCCAUUGUCAUUGGUAAGGAUAAUGAAAAAACUAUUAAAGAGGUAUUCUUUUAAAAAUGAUUUUAUAGUUUUUAAUUUUUGUUUGUGCAGCUCCAGACUAAAUCAUAUGGCAACGGAUGUGAGGAGCAACCCCUAUACCCUACUAAACAAGAUUGAUGAAGAUAUAGAGUGUGAGAUUAUAACUAAAGAAAAAAAAUGUAAAUUUCAUAGUAUAACUUAAUUGUAUAUAUUGUCUAAUAUUUUUUGGCUCUAUUUACAAGUAGAAGAACACCUAAAGUGCUUCUAUAAAUAAUUUUUUAUUAAAAUAUAGAUAAUAUUAUAAAAAAAUCUCAUUAUUUUGCAACAAUCUUCACUAAAAAUUGUUGCUUUUUAACUUUUGUGUAUUAACUGUAACUAAUUUAUAUGACUUUGUAACUUUCAUCCAUAAUAGUAGAAGUUCAACUAAUAGCCACAAAUAUUUAUAAGGAGGUUUAAGCUUGUAUAUAUUAUAUAAUAUAACUUUAUUUAUUUUUUUAGUUAACAUUAGCAAAAUUACGAAAAAACAAAAGAGUCCAGAUAAAUGAUAAGAUUACUCUUCCUGUGUAUGAGGCAAAAGAAGUGGAAUACACUAUAAAGGCAUAAAAAGAAUCAACAACUAUUAAUAAAGUAAUAUAAUAACAAAUUAAUAUAAUUAGUUUUAUUUUUUUCACUCAAACUUAGCAAAUACUUGCAAAAAAUUUUUAAACUAAACAUAGUAAUUCUAGAAAAUUAGUGAAAUUGCUCUUUGAAUUUAACCUUUCUUUUGCUAACAUGAAGUAAUUCUAUAAGAAUGAGAACCAUAUUUAUAAGUUGCCAAAUGCCCACAAAAUUAAAACUGAGUAAACCUUAAAGAAUAUUGUUGAGCAAAGUGUGAAGUUUGAAUAACUGAUUAUAUCUAAAGAGGCCUUAUCCAUAAAUACUUGGAUUACAUUAAAAAAUUAAAAUGUAAAUAAAACCAUAUCUAUAAAUAUGGUUCUAUAUAUAAAAAUUUAUAUGCAACACUAUAUUUGAAUUAUGAAUAAAAUUAUGUGAACAAAAUUGGCAAACAUUAGUUUCCAAACUAUAUAUGUAUCAGUAAACUAUAUACAAAAGUAUAUGUCCAUUUAUUCUCAAAAUACAACUCAAUCAUAUUCAAAAUUAUACAAAAAGCCAUUCCUCGUGAUUGCCAAAUAGCACAUAAAUCAUGAUGAAAACUAUGUACAAAACCAUUAGUGGUUGUGGUCCCAAAACCAAUGCAUUAACAAUUAAGAAACCAGUCAUGAAACCAUUAAAAUCACAUAUGGUUUAACCACAAACACAACCAUUUUGUUUUGGUACUAGUUAUAGUAAAAAAACCAUGUUGAUGAGCAUAUUGUGGUUGUGGUGCUAGACAACACUAUAUGGCAUGGCAUCUGGCAGCCAGAUGUCUUUCCCAUGGAGAUGAAGGCCAAGGUGUUGGAACCUUUGGUGGAUCACAGCUGGAAAAAUCAAAGUACUUGAUAAUGGAGAAGAAAAUUUGUGCACCUUGACUUGAAUCAUGAUCUGCUCCACAAGUUGUUGUGACAGCCAUCAAGGCAAUUUUGACGCUAAAUCAUCUUUGCAACCGGCAAGAACAACAUUCUAGGAGUAGUGGCUCAAGGUGCUGUUUUAAAUAUCCUUGCAAAAUGUUUGCACUAUGCAAAACACACAAUACCCAUUCCUCAUUGAAACGCCAUCAUUUGCUCUCACUCACUUGUUUUCUUUUGCAUCUCCACUCAGUGAGCUGCUAAGCUUCCUUAGAUUAUCAUCUGGAGGAAGUAGGGAAUUCACAGCAUAGAGUUUUGGAGUUGAAGUGUUGUUGGGAUGUUAAGUAUGAAGCUCAAAUUGCAUAUGCAUUGUAUUUUUCUGGUAUGUUGUUGUUGUGGUAUUUUUUUUCCCAAUAUGUCUGUGGUACAAUGUGGCUUGGUUUGUAAGGAGUCCUCGCACUUCCUAGUCCAUUUCUCGUCACAGGGUCUUUUAGUGGUAAUAAAUUCCCACUCGAAGAUAAUAUAAGCAAGGAACUAGUGGUUUCCAGAAGCCGAGUUUAUUCGUCCCCAGUUUUUAAGUUGGAAAGUUGCAAGAGGGAGACUGCACAGGUGAUGGAAUUCUGCUGCUGUGCUCAUCAGCAAAACUUGAGCACCCGAGUUGGAUCGACCGGGGAUAAGAAACUGGGAGGCUGUAUCAAACGUCAUCCUGGCAUAUGACCAAAACGCUUAAGCAAAGAGGUUGUUUCUUUUGAUGAUUUAUCCAGAGAGUUGCUUCUCGUGUAACAUUUUGAUCAAGGGGUUUGUGGAUGCCGGGAAGCAGCAUUUGCCCUGGCAUGGCAUUUGGAAGAAGCAAAGGGUUUCGUUUGAUGCAAUGCCUCAGUAUGACGUGCUCGCAAGAAACACAAUGGCCACUCUAUUUAUACAAACAGAAAACCUUGAACACACAAAGUACAGGUUGUCUCUUUUGCAAAGUUGAAAGGUUUUCUCCCAGAAAGAAGCACAAUAUUAACUCUUGGCCUUGUAGAUCGGAAUCAUACUGUUCUUCACUUUUUUCAACUCUCUCUCUCUCACACACACACACUAAUACCGUUUUGAGCAGCUGUUCUUCCAUCCAGGCAUUUGCUGUUUUGGUUCAAUUUUGCUUAAACACCAGCGACCUUCACGACAUAAGAGCUAGAUUGAUUCACAGUGAGCACCACAACGAUCGCUACCUCGCCAAUCUCAUCGUCCAAAAGUAUGGGGAGCUGUGGGGUGCUCGACGGAUCAUCGCUGGCUCUUGCGGAACAUCUUGCUGGGAAAAAUCGGUUGAGCGGAGAUCCAAGAGGGAUGUGGUCGCAUGGAACUUGAUCCUCGCAGCGUAUGCCUAAAACGCUCAGUCAAAAGAGAUGUUUCUUUGGAUGAUCGAGGAAUGUUUUGAUCAAGGUGGGUUUGUGAAUGCCAUGCGAGAAAGCAGCAGUUGCCGGGACAAGGCAUUUAGAAGACGCAAAAGUUUUAAUUGACGGGAUGCCUCAACAGAAUGUGCUCGCAAGAAAAACAAUGAUCAUUCCUUGUUUUACGAACGGAGCACGCUCUUAAAGAUGCGAUACGCCUGUUUGAGAGUAUGAGCAUCGUCUUGUCUCUUGUACGGCGUUGAUCCAGGCGUUUGGGAAUAGAGGGCUCCUCUGCCGAUCUUUGAUGGAAUCCGGGCGAUCUUGUCACCGACGUCUUGAAAGAUCUUAGAUUCUAUCCGCAAUCGCCCAGUCAAUGCGAUCCUGGCGAUGGGUGCUGCAUAUCAUUCUGCGUGACGUGAUCUCCAGGAUUUGCGAAGAAGAAGGUCGUCGAUCAGAUGCGCGAUGCUGGCGCGCAAUUGAUUGGGGCUUCCCGCUACAUUUUCCCGCGCUAUCGUCGCUACUUCUCCAUUCUAGGGUUCUUUCUUGGAGGCGACGUAGGUUUUCUAUUGCCCGCGUGGUCGAGGAGACGGCGCUGGGGGGCGGCCUUGAUCGGCGUUGUGGAGCUGCACAGGUAAUGGGGCUCAACACUCCGGGUUUUAGAAAUAGGAAGAGGCUCCAGCUUAAGGCUCCGACGAGCAGUGCCAAGGCGAGGAGCCCCAGCCAGCGUUGGUAAAUCGUGGACGACAGGGAGCUCUAGAUAUACGGUGACAACAAAGGCCCCUGCGGCAAAAUGUUCCAUCGGCAGUGGAUCGCCAAAAACUCCUGCAAAAGCUGAGGCUUCUAGGACAGCAAAAGUUGCCGAGGUGAGCAAUGAUAGUGGAGCAGACGAUUUAGAUGAUUCGGGAGUAGAAAGUGGAGCAAUCGAUGGUGGGGAAGAAGAGGUAAACAAGAUCAUGACUGGAGGAGGAAACGAUGCCGAGGUGGAAAGAACAACAGUGGUGGAGAGCUCCAUUGAGACUGUCAGGAAACAUGGCGAGGCUGUUUCUAGCGCCUUAGCUGGACUUUCAAUCAGAGGUAGUGCCUUGACCCACGGUAAUCCCGUUAAGAUGGAAGCUGGUUGUGGUUCCGUGAAAGCUGAAGCUUCGGUUUCAAUCGCAGCUGGAUGUGAUCCUAUGAAAGUAGAUGGCUUGGUGAAGAUGGAAGCUGGUUUUGAGUCUGCAAGAGUCGAAGCUCCGGUUGGCUCAGUGAAGAUGGAACCUGGUUAUGAUACUGUGAAAGUUGAAACUCCAUUCGGGGGUGGUAAAGCUGCCCAUUUGUGUGAAGCGAAGGUGGUUCCAAUAGAAAAUGACACGGCUAAAGCUGCAGAGAAGCAACCGGUUGUUUUAGAUGCACAGAGGUGGUGGCUUCUCCAAGAGACUGAAGUUGCCGGGUACUCGACGUCCAGGGGAUGCCUGAUUCGUGUUGGCGAGUUCGUGUCCUUCAAUUUUCCCAAGCCUGAAGCCGAAAGUAAGAAGAAGUUCUUUGAGCGCAAGAAGGUACGGCCGAAAGCGAGCUCCGACAUUGUAAGGUUCUUGACAAAAGCUUCAGGAGAGGUACGUUUCACUUGACUUGUUUCUUCGUUUUAAUUCUAACCAUUUGCUCACAGAUAGAACGGCUUCCAGCCGACUGGGCCAAGUGUUUGAUACCUUUGGGAAGUGCAAAAUGGCACCAGAGGCUCUUUCUCUUAUGAGCAGCAUAGUUCUCCAUUUGAGGUAGAGUUUUCUGUGUUUACCAGAGACGUUAUUGUGAAGUUAUUGAAUGCAAACUAUCUGAGCCUGAACGUGAUUUUUAUGAUGCCCUUUACCACAGAUCUAAGGCAUGAAGAACUUCUCUUUCUUUUAUUUUCUCUUUUUUCUGAACACGUUUUUGCUUUUGAGAUCAGGUAAAAUUCGAUCAGUUCGUUAAACAAGGUAAAGUUCUCCAUAACUAUGCCUCGAUCCUCGAACUGCUACUUCGAUUACGGCAAGCUUGUGAUCAUCCUUUUCUUGUUCUGAGGUAGAAAAUGCAUCCUCUUAUGUCUGAAGUUCCUGACGUUUUCUUCGUCACGCAGCCGUGGCGAUACUGAAGACUUUGCGGACCUGGGAAAGCUGGCUAGACGUUUCUUGGACAAGAAUUCCUCCCAGGUGCCUUCGACGGCGUAUGUCAAAGAGGUGGUGGAUGAUAUUCGUAAAGGAGAAAGUGCUGAGUGCCCAAUUUGUUUGGAGAUGCCAGAGGACGCAGUUCUUACAUCGAAUGUAAGACUUUCUCAAGAGUGGUGGGGGCGACGAGCAGCUGAGGAGCAGUAGCAGCUACAGGACCCAGCAGUCGCAGCUCACGGUCCCUGCCACAGCUUUGCUCCUUCUGGAGGAGGAGGAGAAGGUCCUCCUCCACGACCACUCUACGUCCCAGCAAUAAGAUUUGGUGGGUGGUCACCUCACUUCCAGCAGCACCAAGACCCACUUUUCCCUUCGGAUCCAUUCUUGACUCCGUCGGACCACUGAUUUCUACGCUCGUUUGCUCCUCUUCCAGUCGAGAGACCGUUCCAUCCGCCAGUGCUGUAUCCUUUUCCGAAUGCUCCGACUUUCCAGCCUGCUGAUAAUGUGGUUCAUCCGGCGCAUUCCUCUGGGGAGCUUAAAGCUCGUCCUGGCCUUCACUUCGAGUCUCCGGUGUUUCGACCCAGCGCAGCAGAGACCUCGGACUUCAAACGCGCCCCAGAGCAGCCGAGGAGAUCGGUUACACCUGCGAAGGAUGACAAGCAACAAUUCCACGGCAAUGGUUCCGAGCUCCUUCAGUUGUUACAGGGUGGUCCUGGUCGUGUGAAGCCCACAGCCUCCACAAAGGUGGAUGCUACACAGGACAGUGGGGAUUCUGGAGAGCCAUCAAAGAAAGGAAGUCCAUCUGCUGUUCACGGCCCCAUAGGACCGCCGAGGCGUCAUGUCGUUUCUCCUCCGCAGAGUCCAAAUGACCUCCUUGGACGUUUGUGGGCUGCUCUUCCGUCGUCAAGCCACACCUUGUUUGGCGGAGAAAGCGAACGCAAGACGUCAGCCCGGAGCUUUAGCGUUGAAGCGAACGAGAUGUCCCGGGAAGUCGAUGGAGGUGGAGCUGCUGGUUUCGCACUUUUGAAGCGAAGGGGAUCGGAGCCUGCCGCCUCGCACUACCUUUAAACGGCUACGACUAUAACGACUCUAAGACAAAUGAUAAGCCGAGGACAAACUCAGCAUCCGGAAGACUACAGGACUAUCGUGGGAGAUCCGUAAAUGGAGAGGCCGAAUUUGAGCCCGGAGGCGAUGACUUUAGAGGUGCGGGAAGGCGUCGAGGUACCGGUCGUCCAGACGCCAGACGCGGUGGUCGGGGUGCUGUUGGCCAGUGGAUUGCGGUAAAUGAGAGGCAUAAAGAUGCUGAGCCAAGUGACAUCACGUCCUGCGAUAUCUCUGAUGGAAGGGACGAGUCGCUUAAAUCUUGAAACGGGACUUAGUCGAAUGCUAGGAGAAAACAUCAACAGGAAUGGAGGAUAAAACAGGCCGACUCAAAGGCAGCAUUUCCAGCGGAGAAAAAACCGGACUACAAGGUUCCAAAGGCACGGUCUUUGGCAUCUCAACUUGAACGUCCAGGCUUGCCAUCGGGAAGUACGCAAAACUCUUCCGUUGGCGCGGCUUUUGAGGAGUCCAAACAGAGGCUCCAUAAUCUAGAUGCUUUGGAAGGAGAAGGCGUGACGACCUCUCUAGAUCUCGAGGAGCUACAAAUUGACGGUCACCGUCGUGAGGGUAACACUCCACAGUUUGACAAGGUUUGUGCUUGCUUUUUUUCUUUCUUUAUUUUCAUGUGUUUGUAUCUCUGGUUACAGCCGAAGGAGAACCGUUUCAGGACCUCUGAAGAACUAAAGGUAUGCAUAUGCAUAUUCUUAAUAUUGUUAUGUUUUCCAUGUUUUACCAUUUACUCUAUACACCAGAUUUUAAAAUACUCAAAACCACGAGAGUAAAGUAAUAUCCUGAGAAUACGAUUUGUAAGCAAAACAGAAACUAUGUCUUCUCCAAACGCUGCUGACGGCUUGGAAAUCUCUGUUUUUGUUUUUUGAGUUAUGCAAAAUAGUGUAGCAUUUGCGCAGAUCGAGAACCCAAUCGAUGUCCACUGAAGGAGCAAGGUUUAAUCCCAGAAUUUUAUCUGGAGAUCCGGCCGCUCCUCAAGCCAUGGUGGAACUUUCGUAGCUUUUAGGCAGCGUAGGACUUUGAGCCUGGGAAAUAAGCCAAGGCCGUGAUCGUCUGAACUCAAUUGGGGCCACACUACAUCAUCAUGACCAGAGAGCUCAAGUUCCUCCAAUCCUGGAAGGGAUGCAAUGGAUGAUGGAAUAUUUUUGAUCCCCAUCAAGUGCGCCCAUCUUAAAAGAGUCAUCUGGUCUGUUGGCUCAAAGAAAUCAUUGGGGAUACAGCCCUUCCACAAAAAUAAUGUGACGCAUUUCACCUUCAGCUGUGAUCUCUCGGUUGGCAUCAAGAGUCUCCUCAUGUAACCUUCUACAUCCAGUUCAUCAAGGUCUUUGGGGAGUUGUGUCACAAAGAGAGGCAAAUGCUCCCAUGUAUUAUCAAGAGCCACAACGAAUGUUAACCUCUUCAGAUUUGGAAGACUUGCUGCCAAAUCAUCCUUGAACUCCGACUGUGCAAUGUGUAGAUUUUCAAGGCCCAGAAAUUCAAGGCAUGGGAACGAUCCAUCCAGACUGAAGAACUGGAUACCACUGCAGUCUAGGUGAAGUUCUCGUAGCCGCUGAAAGCCCUUUAACCAGGACAGGUCUUUCAUUGUCUCAUUGUUCCUGAUGGUUAACAAUUGUAGCUGUGGCCAUUCAAGGCUUUCGGCAUUGUUUUCACCGUCUUGAACCCCGUCAAUCGAAAAGCCCUCAAGCUGUUUGGAAUUCUUAAACAUUCGCUUCCAGUCAAGUUUGAUAGUCGAUUUCACCAUAAUCUCACAUCGUUUCAGAUUGACAAGUUGCCACGGGCCGGUGAAAUCGCCAAAGUCCAUGCUCUUUGCGCACAACUUCAGUUUCUCAAUGUCCACUAGUGCACCAAGGCUGCGAGGUAUUUUUAUUGUUGCAUUGUAGAGUGUUAGCGUUAAAUGUCUUAGCUUGUGUAGGCUUGAAAUUCCACUCAAAUCCACAGCCAGAGCUAACUCCUUAAAGGAUACAAGCUCCAGCUCUUCCAAGUCGAAUAAUUGGGGCAGUAAUGCAAAGUUGAGAUUUCUGGUAGCCUUGCAUUUCAAAACCUUCAGUGAUGUCAAGCUGAAGAGCGCAUCUGGCAAUUGAGGCACAUCAUCGUAGGAUGGAAGGUGAAGCACUUGAAGGUUUCUCAGCUUGGAUAUGCUCUCUGGAAUAGAACGGGCCAAAUUAUAGCAUCCAUUCAAGCUCAAUACCUUGACAUUUUGGAUGUGAUCUAUAUCCAAACCAGAAAUUUCAUGAGGUCCAUCGAGAAGCAAGACAUCUCGCACAUGAAUGUCAGACAAAAGGCUGCUUGUAACCUUCUUUCCAAUGAAUGAAACUUUAGAAAAUGUUGGAGAAAUCCCAGGUGGACAAUCAUAGCCAAACAGGCAUCCCUUCUCGUGCUCUUCCUGGGGUGGGUACUUCCCUUUCAAGAUUCUUAUGCACAGCUUGCGUACCAUGUCGUGCACAGUUACAUACUUUUCCCGAAGUAUACUAGUUGUCUUCACUAGGCAUCUUCGUUCCAGUUCACUAACAAUCUGCAGAGGCGAGAGUUCUGACCCAACCGCUAUCCAACAUUUUCUCAGAUGAUCAAACUGGAUUCGCUCAUCUUCUGGAAACGCAGCCACAUAGAGAAAGCACUCUUGCAGCUUUUCAUCCUUAUUAAAGCGUCCCAGCUCAUCAUAGCUAAACUUCAAGCGCUGGAACAUCCGCUUCUCAAUGUCCCCGUCAUUCAACAAAUGCAUCUUCUCAUAGCGUUCUUCCCACACCUGUGGCCCCUCAUUCCUGUAGACAGCCAUGGCACUGCCAAUCACUUCAAGAGCUAGAGGGAGCCCCUCACAUUUGCUAGCUAUUCUCUCGGCAACUUCCACAAUGUCCGGAUCACUAGGUAGUGAAUCACGAAAGGCAAACUUCCAAAACAUCUUUUCGCUCUCGGCCUUUGAUAGCUUACACACACGAAAUAUUUUUGCACCCAGCAUGCUCAAAAUGUCUUCCUUUCUGGUUGUUACCAGCACCCGGCUGUAAGAGGACGGCCCUGUUAUAAAAUCCAGUCCCUCGGCCCAGCUCAUGUCCCACACAUCAUCCAGUAUCAGCAAGACACGAAUUCCACGAGCAACAUUUUGUGCCAAGUGCUGCACAUGCUCAAGGGUGCCUGCAUUUUGGGCCCUCUCUUUCAUGCCGCCCCAUUCAAGAGCGUUGAGGAGCUGGGCCCUGAGAUCAUCCUCCGAUGCAUCUUUCUUGACAGUGAUCCAUACAAUGUUGUCAUGGAAAUGCUGCCGGACCCUCUGGUCAUUGUUCACGAAUCUUGCAAGGGUGGUCUUGCCACACCCUCCCAUUCCCAGGAGUCCAAACCAUUUCCCCGGGUGUGGAUCCAGGAGGGCAUUCACCACCUCAUCCACCUGCUCCCCAUGGCGGCCAAACAUGUCGUUGGCCUCGGGAACACCACGCCGUUCAUACUUUACGAGACCUCUGUCUUGUGGACAACUCCGUACGGAAAAGCUGGUGCUCCGCUGUAUCACUCUCAACUCUUCUCGCUCGUACCUUUCAAUGUGCGGGAGGAGAUCGUCCUCGCAAGUGCGUACCAGCUCCGAAAUCGCGCCAGAUCGCUUCUCCCUGCGCGACAGAUCCAUCUUUUAGCUUCAUUGCUUCAAACAUGAAUUCGAAUAAGCCUUACCGUAGUGCUUGCGCCUUCUUAGUCCAUUCAGUCAGUUCAGUCAGCCACGCCUCAGCCUCACCAGAGUAGCGGAAAUCUGGAUUCCUGUGCUUGGGAGCAUUAAACUUGUCAAGCGUGGCCUGGAUUCUGGAUGCCCUCUUCUCUAGCUUCUCAAUGUGGACAUUCAGCUCAUGCUCGUGACCUUGGAUCUGCGACAGGAGAUCGUCGUAGGCACUUAAGGACUUCGCGAUCUCGUUACUCCGCUUGUACCUAUAGGAAGUGGAGAAGUUCAACCAGCUGCCUGCCAUUUCUACACACACACACACACAAAAGAUAAAAUGCUACUGUACCGACCGCUUUAUGGGGCUCCAGAUCCUGUUGUGGCGUGAUCGCAAGAGUGCUUGUGCCGUGGUGUUCCAUGUCCUGACACGCUCCAAGCAUUUCUCGGCCGCUUCAGAGAACGUGAAGCCAGGAUUCUGCUGCUUGUGAACACUGAAAGCUUCGAUCUUGUCCUGGAUGUGGGGCGCCUUGUUCUCCAGCGUGUCAAUGUUGGCAUUGCAGUCCCAUAUCUUCUUAGCAGGGCCCAGAGCCAAGCCACACAAGACGCCUGUCAAGGAGCCCACAACCUCCAUGCCUGUAGACCUACAAGUAAACGUCGUCUCCCAGAACUCUUGGCCUUGGUACCCCUCUUAAAAUGAACAGUAAUUCUCAGAGAGGUAUAAGCUGUUACAAGUGACUUGAGUUUAAUUGGAGUUGAUUGCUUGCAGUAGAGCCCGUAGUAGAGGGCCUCGUGCAGCACCCUCCCUCUUGCAAUGCCAGCUGUGGCUCUCUCUCUCUCUCUCUCUCUCAUUGCUCCGACAUUGUAAGUUUCUCCAGGAGAGGUAACUUUUGUCGCUUUGUUUUAGUUGCACACAGAUAGGACGCCUUCCAGCUGACUGGGCCACGUGUUUGAUUGCUUUGGGUCAGGAAAGCGUACUCUGGGUCAUUCUUCACUAUUUUUGAGACUAGAAAUGUAUAUGGUUUUACUUUUGAACUAGGAUAGUUUAUAUGUUUUAAUAUAGUUAACACUCUGGAACUUGAUUUAUAAUAUUAAGGACAUCAAGAAUUAUUUUAAAAUUGGACUAAAACUUGAUUUUCCUUAUGGAUUUUCAACUACAUAAAAGAUGUACAUUCAUGUAAUUUAUUCAUAUGACAAUAUUCUUUUGAUAAGAGCAUAGGUUGUGCUGUUUAACAAACAUAUGAUGUUUUUGACUGGAACUUUUAUGAAAAAAUUCCCACACUUCAAUAAGAAAAUAAAAAAAUUUAUAUUGUUUUUAUUUGCUGCAGAAUGUCCUUUUUUAAUUCUAUAUGAAUUGGGAUUGUUGGUUACAACUUCCAUACAUAUAACAUAUAAAUGUUCUAUUGCAAACACCUUUACCACAUAUUUAAUUCUUCCUUGGAUCCUCAUAAUAUAAUCAAUUGCCACUUCUAUAAAAUUGUCUUUAUUGUUACUUCUAUAGUAGUGUCCUUAUUGUGGGCACCUUCUGGAAAUUUGUGAUAAACUACAUCCAAAACUAAAUAAAAGUAAUUCCAAACAUUGUUAUAGUAUGGCACAAUGCAAACUUCUCUAACUAGAGCAUCCAUUAGUAAGAUGCAAAUAUGAUUAAACUGAAUAUUCCCUAAAACUAGAAUAUGAGAACCUAUGUGGUGAUAUUUCAUUAGAGUUCUUCUUAGUUCAUCUACAUAGUAACUGAGAAAAAAUUAUUAGCUUCUACCAAAGAAAUAGACAGAUAGACAAUUUCUCACUAGUAGUAUUUAACACAAAUAAAGAUUUCAAUUGCACCCCUAAUCCCAACUAAGAAUAUCUUUAUAAUUUGAGUAAAAUAUAUAUCACUUGGAAAACCAUAUAGUUAUAAGCAUGAAAUAUAAUAUGAUUAUUACAAACCUACCACCAUAGUUGUGUUUUGCUUUUGCACUAUGAUUUUAGCAUGUAUUGCCACAAUUUUUAAUUCUUCCUCUUUCAUGACAUUUUCUUCAACCAAAUUAUCAUUAGGUAAACUAUUCAUCACUCAUUCCAACAUCACUAAUGACAAAUAUAAUGUUCUCUCACAAAUCAUAUCCAAACCCAUUUGCUAGAUUAUAUGGUUCUGACUUUCCCCCCAAAUCCACUCUAUUAUUUGUCACCGUGCUAACUUAUGCAUUUUUAGUGAGAGUAAGUGUUUGCCUAUGCUUAUAGAAAGUAGAUUUGGUGAAAAAAUAACCUUUUGUUGCCCUUGUUGCAACAUAUGAUAGACAACAAUAAUUUUUCUUUCCUUUUUGAUUUAGUUUGGUAUGAACCAUUGAGAUGUGUCAUUUUCUAGCUAAUCUAGUGAUUCUAAUCCCCAGACAAAUAUUACAAUCAACAUUACAAGGCAAACACAUUCUUGCAAAACUUGUGAAACUUAAAAAUACACGAUUAUCACAUAUCUUUUAGUGUUUUUAAUGUUGUCAGCCUUGUGGUUUUUUGCUGCUUUCUUUCAAAAACAUAAUAUUGUUAUAAAUAUUUUUUUUGAGGUAUUUUUCAAGUCUUUAUUUAGCAAAUUCAUAAUGGAGGUAGAGGAGAUAAAUUGCCCAAUCCGUAAUGCUUUUUGGGAUUAGGCCUAUAAGUAACAUUUGAUAAACAUAAAACAUAGGAAGGUUAAGGCUUUUUACUUGCAUUUAUUGAUAGAAUUUUUUUUCUACUGCUUGUGAUCACUGAAAGCGUUGAUCUUGGCCUGGAUGUGGUGCGCCUUGUUCUCCAGCGUUUCAAUGUUGGCAUUGCAGUCCCAUAUCUUCUUAGCAGGGCCCAGAGCCAAGCCACACAAGGCGCUUGCCAAGACGCUUGUCAAGGAGCCCACAACCUCCAUGGCUGUAGACCUACAAGUAAAGGUUGUCUCCCUCCCAGAAAGAAGCACAAUAUUAACUCUUGACCUUGUAGAUCGGAAUUCUUCACUUUUUUCACAGCUGUGACUCACUCACUCUAAGAGAUUCACAGUGAGCACCGCAACGAUCGCUACAUCGCUCGCAAGAAACACCUCUAUUUGUACAAACAGACAAACGUGGAGCACGUAAAGUACUUGUGUCUUUGGCCUAAAAACGGGCAUCUUAAACGCCAUAGCCAGAAAAUGGACGGCGGAGAUCUUUUGAGCAAGAACCCUAAGCCCCAAUUUCUCUUGGCGAGGCGGCGAGAGAGCGAUGGCGCAGAGAGAUGCGACACGCCCGAGAAGAACAUCGUCUUUUCUCUUGUACGGCGUUGAUCCAGGCGAACGGGAAUAGAGGGCUCCUCUGCCGAUCUUUGAUGGGAUCCGGGCGAUCUUGUCACCGACGUCUUGAAAGAUCUUAGAUUCUAUCCGCAAUCGCCCAGUCAAUGCGAUCCUGGCGAUGGGUGCUCCAUAUCAUUCUAUUCCCGCCCGGACGUGAUCUCCAGGAUUUGCGAAGAAGAAGGUCGUCGAUCAGAUGCGCGAUGCUGGCGCGCAAUUGAUUGGGGCUUCCCGCUACAUUUUCCCGCGCUAUCGUCUCUACUUCUCCAUUCUAGGGUUCUUUCUUGGAGGCGACGUAGGUUUUCUAUUGCCCGCGUGGUCGAGGAGACGGCGCUGGGGGGCGGCCUUGAUCGGCGUUCUGGAGCUACACAGGUAAUGGGGCUCGAAAUAGGAAGAGGCUCCAGCUUAAGGCUCCGACGAGCAGUGCCAAGGCGAGGAGCCCCAGCCAGCGUUACGGUGACAACAAAGGCCCCUGGGGCAAAAUGUUCCAUCGGCAGUGGAUCGCCAAAAACUCCUGCAAAAGCUGAGGCUUCUAGGACAGCAAAAAUUGCCGAGGUGAGCAAUGAUAGUGGAGCAGAGGAUUUAGACGAUUCGGGAGUAGAAAGUGGAGCAAUCGAUGGUGGGGAAGAAGAGGUAAACAAGAUCAUGACUGGAGGAGGAAACGAUGCCGAGGUGGAAAGAACAACAGUGGUGGAGAGCUCCAUUGAGACUGUCAGGAAACAUGGCGAGGCUGUUUCUAGCGCCUUAGCUGGACUUUCAAUCAGAGGUAGUGCCUUGACCCACGGUAAUCCCGUUAAGAUGAAAGCUGGUUGUGGUUCCGUGAAAGCUGAAGCUUCGGUUUCGAUCGCAGCUGGAUGUGAUCCUAUGAAAGUAGAUGGAUUGGUGAAAAUGGAAGCUGGUUUUGAGUCUGCAAGAGUCGAAGCUCUGGUUGGCUCGGUGAAGAUGGACCCUCGUUAUGAUACUGUGAAACUUGAAACUCCAUUCGGGGGUUGUUUUAGAUGUUGAGAGGUGGUGGCUUCUCCAAGAGACUGAAGUUGCCGGGUACUCGACGUCCAGGGGAUGCCGGAUUCGUGUUGGCGAGUUCAUUUCCUUCAGUUUUCCCAAGCCUGAAGCCGAAAGUAAGAAGAAUUUCUUUGAGCACAAGAAGGUUCGGCCGAAAGUGAGCUCCGAUAUUGUAAGGUUCUUGACAAAAGCUUCAGGAGAGGUACGUUUCACUUGACUUGUUUCUUCGUUUUACUUCUAACCAUUUGCUCACAGAUAGGACGGCUUCCAGCCGACUGCGCCAAGUGUUUGAUACCUUUGGGAAGUGCAAAAUGGCACCAGAGGCUCUUUCUCUUAUGAGCAGCAUAGUUCUCCAUUUGAGGUAGAGUUUUCUGUGUUUACCAGAGACGUUACGUAUAUGAUGUGCUUGCAGAGUUUAUAUCAACAAGUCAGAAGCCUUACGAGGAGGGGGUUGAGCGCGGAUUGAAGCUUCUGCAAGCUAUCUUGAAGCCGGUAAUGCUUCGAAGAACAAAAGAUUCAACUGAUAAAGAAGGAAGGUAAGCAUUUUUUUCUUUGCACCGUGCCUUGUCUUGUAUUCACUCACCGUGCCUUGUCUUGUAUUCACUCACAAGUUGGAUUCACAGACCAAUUCUUGUUCUCCAACCGGCUCAAUGUGAAGUUAUUGAAUGCAAACUAUCUGAGCCUGAACGUGAUUUUUAUGAUGCCCUUUACCACAGAUCUAAGGCAUGAAGAACUUCUCUUUCUUUUAUUUUCUCUUUUUUCUGAACACGAUUUUGCAUUUGUGAUCAGGUAAAAUUCGAUCAGUUCGUUGAACAAGGUAAAGUUCUCCAUAACUAUGCCUCGAUCCUCGAACUGCUACUUCGAUUACGGCAAGCUUGUGAUCAUCCUUUUCUUGUUCUGAGGUAGAAAAUGCAUCCUCUUAUGUCUGAAGUUCCUCACGUUUUCUUCGUCACGCAGCCGUGGCGAUACUGAAGACUUUGCGGACCUGGGAAAGCUGGCUAGACGUUUCUUGGACAAGAAUUCCUCCCAGGUGCCUUCGACGGCGUAUGUCAAAGAGGUGGUAUUCGUAAAGGAGAAAGUGCUGAGUGCCCAAUUUGUUUGGAGAUGCCAGAGGACGCAGUUCUUACAUUGAAAGUGCCGUGAGUGCCGAGAAUGUGGACGAUCGAGCAUCGGUCAGACGAAGAACGUAUCGAUCAAGCGAUUCAUCAUCAAAGUAAGCGCCACUUGAAACUCUCUUUGACGUUUCUCAUGUCUCUAGAGCAGGACUCGGUGGAGGAGAGAAUGCAACAGGUCCAAGCGAGGAAGCAGCGAUUGAUCGCGGGGGCUCUCACAGACGAAGAGGUGCCAAGCGCUCGAAUCGAGGAGCUCAAAAUGCUAUUUAAAUGAGAAGAACUGGAGUCCUUAGCAUUUUCUUAACUUACAUCAGGUUAAAGAGGGGAAUAUGCUUCUAGCUUCGGCGCGUAUAUUCUUCAAUGUGUCAUAGCUAGGUUUCUUCGCGGCUAUGGCGGACAGCGAAGGAGCAGGCGAUUGCGUCGCAAGCGCGUUUGAUUCCGGCAGCAUCGGCGACGAGCAACGUAUGCAUGCUAGGAGCAGCAGCAGCGCCAGCGCCGGCGCCGCGCCGCGAUUUCGCUGGCCUAGAGCCGGAGUAGCCGAUCUAGAUUCAUGCAAGCAUAUGAUCUCUAGGAAAUUGAGCUGAACGCUGAGGCUUUGCAGGCGAUCGCGUCGAUUCCUCUCGUCUCCGCGGCCGGGGCGGCUAGAAAGCCGGGGCGCAUUCUAGAGUUUCGGGGUUUCUGGGGCGAUCAGUCAUGUAGCGGGCAGUGAUUCUCUCACAGAGAGCUGGAAGUCAGCCAUGACGUGGAAUCCGCCACAAGUAGCUUGUCCGCCUUGACUGCCACUACUCAGGCCGAGGAUGAACUGGGCGUGGAUGUGUCGUCUCCCAGCGGCGAUUUGCUGCUCCAUUUGAGCGGUGGGGGCGACGAGCAGCUGAGGAGCAGUAGCAGCUACAGGACCCAGCAGUCGCACCUUACGGUCCCUGCCACAGCUUUGCUCCUUCUGGAGGACCUGGAGGAGGAGGAGAAGGUCCUCCUCCACGACCACUCUACGUCCCAGCAAUAAGAUUUGGUGGGUGGUCACCUUACUUCCAGCAGCACCAAGACCCACUUUUCCCUUCGGAUCCAUUCUUGACUCCGUCGGACCACUGAUUUCUACGCUCGUUUGCUCCUCUUCCAGUCGAGAGACCGUUCCAUCCGCCAGUGCCGUAUCCUUUUCCAAAUGCUCCGACUUUCCAGCCUGCUGAUAAUGUGGUUCAUCCGCCGCAUUCCUCUGGGGAGCUUAAAGCUCGUCCUGGCCUUCACUUCGAGUCUCCGGUGUUUGGACCCAGCGCAGCAGAGACCUCGGACUCCAAACGCGCCCCAGAGCAGCCGAGGAGAUCGGUUACACCUGCGAAGGAUGACAAGCAACAAUUCCACGGCAAUGGUUCCGAGCUCCUUCAGUUGUUACAGGGUGGUCCUGGUCGUGUGAAGCCCACAGCCUCCACAAAGGUGGAUGCUACACAGGACAGUGGGGAUUCUGGAGAGCCAUCAAAGAAAGGAAGUCCAUCUGCUGUUCACGGCCCCACAGGAUCGCCGAGGCGUCAUGUCGUUGCUCCUCCGCAGAGUCCAAAUGACCUCCUUGGACGUUUGUGGCCUGCUCUUCCGUCGUCAAGCCACACUUUGUUUGACGGAGGAAGCGAGCGCAAGGCGUCAGCCCGGAGCUUUGGCGUUGAAGUGAACGAGAUGUCCCGGGAAGUCGAUGGAGGUGGAGCUGCUGGUUUCGCACUUUUGAAGCGAAGGGGAUCGGAGCCUGCCGCCUCGCACUACCUUUAAACGGCUACGACUAUAACGACUCUAACCCCAGGACAAACUCAGCAUCCGGAAGACUACAGGACUAUCGUGGGAGAUACGUAAAUGGAGAGGCCGAAUUUGAGCCCGGAGGCGACGACUUUAGAGGAGGCGUCGAGGUGCCGGUCGUGCAGACGCCAGACGCGGUGCUCGGGGUGCUGUUGGCCAGUGCAUUGCGGUAAAUGAGAGGCUAGCCGCUUCAUCCCAUGGUGCUCUGCCUUUGUCAUUGGCAUGACAAGCGGAUAGGAAUCUAAGUCUUGAUCAGUCCUGCUCUCAGCCCAGCUGAUAACAGGCUGCACUUGAAGGAGAUUGUGCUCGAUCAUGGAGUCAACACUAUCUUGUGCGAUCUUGAGCUCGCACUUGGGCACCACACCAUCCGGCGCCUUUGCACACACCCUUAUCACCUCAGUCCAUUCCUCUGGCUUCCACAGCGCAUCGCUUCUCCCAUCAAAGCGCUCAAAGCGGCGGGGAGACCAGCCUGAAACCAUAUCCGAAACGGCACUGCUGGUCGAGAGCCCUGCUUCUCCUCGAAAGACCUCCGCAGCUUCGCCCGGCUCAGUGGACAGCGUUUCUCGACUUGUUAGAGAUACCAUUGAAAAGGUACGAACGUCUUUCCUUUUGGUGCUUUCUCUUUGUUUGUGUUUCUAACAAUGCACUGCCAGGAAGAACUUCUGUUUCGUCCGCUUGGACGGAACGCUAUCGCAGCGUCAGCGAGAACAAGUGCUCAAAAACUUCGGCAAUAUUCCAGCCGUGGCCGUAAGCUUUUUGUGUUGCUUACCUCCAAGAAACCACUCUAUUUUGUGGACAGGUCAUGCUCAUGCUUUUCUCAUGGUACGCGCUAUAGUUUUCUUUUUUAGCCAUCUUCCGAGUCGAGAAUGUGGACGAUCGAGCAUCGGUCAGACGAAGAACGUAUCGAUCAAGCGAUUCAUCGUCAAAGUAAGCGCGAGUUGAAACUCUCUUUGACGUUUCUCAUGUCUCUAAAGCAGGAUCCAAGAGGAAGCAGCGAUUGAUCGCGGGGGCUCUCACAGACGAAGAGGUGCGAAGCGCUCGAAUCGAGGAGCUCAAAAUGCUAUUUAGAUGAGAAGAACUGGAUUUUUUUAACUUAUAUCAGUUAAAGAGGGGAAUAUGCUUCUAGCAUCGGCGCGUAUAUUCUUCGGAUAGUUCAAUGAAUGUGGGCUAUGCGUAUAGGAGCUUUGGCUAGGGUACAAGCACUUCUAGGUUUCUUCGCGGCUAUGGCGGACAGUGAAGGAGCUGGCGAUCGCGUCGCAAGCGCGUUUGAUUCCGGCAGCAUCGGCGACGAGCAAGGUAUGCAUGCUAGGAUCGCCUCGAGAAGCAGCAGCAGCGCCGGCGCCGGCGCCGCGCCGCGAUUUCGCUGGCCUAGAGCCGGAGUAGCCGAUCUAGAUUCAUGCAAGCAUAUGAUCUCUAGGAAAUUGAGCUGAACGCUGAGGCUUUGCAGGCGAUCGCGUCGAUUCCUCUCGUCUCCGCGGCUGGGGCGGCUAGAAAGCCGGGGCGCAUUCUAGAGUUUCGGGUUUCUGGGGUGAUCAGUCAUGUAGCGGGCAGUGAUUCUCUCAUAGGGAGCUGGAAGUCAGCCAUGACGUGGAAUCCGCCACAAGUUCCUCCCAGCUUGUCCGCCUUGACUGCCACUACUCAGGCCGAGGAUGAACUGGGCCUGGAUGUGUCGUCUCCCAGCGGCGAUUUGCUACUCCAUUUUCUCGAGCGGUGGGGGCGACGAGCAGCUGAGGAGCAGUAGCAGCGACAGGACCCAGCAGUCGCAGCUCACGGUCCCUGCCACAGCUUUGCUCCUUCUGGAGGACCUGGAGGAGGAGGAGGAGAAGGUCCUCCUCCACGACCACUCCACGUCCCAGCAAUAAGAUUUGGUGGGUGGUCACCUCACUUCCAGCAGCACCAAGACCCACUUUUCCCUUCGGAUCCAUUCUUGACUCCGUCGGACCACUGAUUUCUACGCUCGUUUGCUCCUCUUCCAGUCGAGAGACCGUUCCAUCCGCCAGUGCCGUAUCCUUUUCCAAAUGCUCCGACUUUCCAGCCUGCU